rnacentral:misc_RNA from 1 species
CGAUGACCAGCUUGGAAAACAAAAAUUGCAUAGAAACUAUGCAAGUAGAAUAAAUCUCUACAAAUAAAAACUGUUUGAAAUUUGAUCCUACUGAAUAAAAAAACAAGGACAAGACUUUGAUUAUCUACAAGGCAUAAUCAUAGGGUACAAGAUAGGCAUGAGAAUCCGCAUGAAGGCAAAGAUAAGCUUGCGAGUGAACAAUAAUUUAAUAGAUAGAAGCAAUUAUAAAUGGGGAAAGGCCUAACUUACCUUCACACUAUACGGCAUUUGGUAUAGAAGUACUACAUCCCCGAUGGUCAUAUUAAUAAUGUGGAUGUGAUGGUGCCGAGUCACAGUAUACAAAUUACAAAACAGACAAAAUCUCACUGGCGUCGGGGCCACUUUGACAAGGAAAAUAGAGCUCCCAGUCAUAGCAUAAUUUGAGGAAUUAUUGCCCAGUUUUGGCUGGUGUAUUAGUCUACUCAAAUUGGAGCGGGCCCAACCAUUAUGUAAGAAGAAUGGAUUCAAUGCGAGUGACGUUGCCAGAGGACACGAUAAUUUGCCCUUUUAAGAGGUCUGCUAAGCAUAGUCGCAGGUGACGCGAGUCUGCAAUCUUGACCAUUAAUUGACGUAGGUCCCACCAGAUAAGGCAUCCGGGACCUGCAUUGAUCGGUUCAUAUUGCACCGUGACUGUUUGGUCAGUGGCUUGACCUAUGAUGUCGCUCCUUCCUGUAUCGAGACUGAUCUGGAUCAAAUCCACCCUCUUGUGCUCCAUAAACUGCCCAGGAUGGUGUGGCAGCCAUGUAAUCCAUGCUAUUGAAAGGUUUUCCAGAAGCAACCAGAUCAUGGAAACUUUCAUAGUCUAUCCAUGUAAACCAUUGGCCAUUGACCUUGAACUUCUCAGUUUUUGCCAAGAGGACACAACAUGAGUGGGCGUGCUCACAAGCAACCUCAUAUUCUCCUUUGCUUUUCAGAGCUAAGGCCUCUGAGAAAGCUUUGACAUCAGAAUGCCAGGGCACAUUCUCCAUUGUCAACUUUGAUGUAGCAGACGAUCCACAAUAUGUAACGCCUUUAAUUUCGAUAAAAUCAGGCUGUCCAAUUUUAAAGAGGUUAAAAUAAGCAUCUACAUCCUCUGUAUUCCAACCUUUCACCAGUGUCAAGCGAUAAACAGUCCGCUGCUGUUUCUCCUUUAGAGAUUUCAACGAAUCAAUAAAGCGCUCCCAAAAGUCCCCAAAUAGAGGCCUAUCAAUUGCCUUCAAGCUAUCCUUCGUUGCAGCAUCCACACUGACAUAUAACUGGGUGACAGGCUUUAGCAUUUUUAUCUUUUCAGGGAACUGCGCAUUUGUCACCAGAAAAGUUGAUAUCUGCCUUCGGUGGAGCUCAUCAACAAGUUUAUUAAUCUCUGGAUACAUGAUAGGUUCACCAACAAGUGACAGAGCACAAUGCCUUGGAGAGAGUCCUUCAGUCAAUCGUUCCUGUGUAACACCUGGAACCCCUUUCAUUUGCUUAAUCAUCUUUGUAUGCUGAUCUAUGGCAGAAUUCACAAUUUCUAGGGGAUCAUCCAUCUUCCACUGCCAGUUCUUUCCCACAGGAUUUGUGUGAUGCCUCCAACAAAAAACGCAUUUGUUGGCACAAGCCAAACUUGGAGUUGCCUCCAUGCACCUGUGACUUUCUAUUCCAUAAAAUGAGUGCUUGUAGCAACCUCCUCGCCCUCUAAGUUGUGAUUUGGUCCAUCGACAAAUCUUAACACCACUGUGUGAACCAAUAAUCUUGUAUCCCUGCUUUUCUAAGUUGGCCCUGAUCACUGGAGUCACCAUUUCUUUUUGGCCAUUCGCUUUCCCGUUAACUUCAGCCACUGUAUUAGAUCUCCUUGAAGGCCCUUUACCCGCAAUAUCCUCAAGGUCGACGAUCCCCGACUCCACAUCACCAUUCUCGUCAUCUUCACUUUCAAACCCAUCUUCAAUGUUCUCGUUAUCGCUCUCACCACCGGUACAUCCAUUACUAAAAACCAGUCCAUUCUGCAUGCUACCUCCCUUCAAAAUCCUAAGCACCUUCCCACUCCAUUGGUCAAAAAUCCCAUCCAGUUCACCACCAUCCACGUCACCCUUCCCAACCUCAACAAUCUCGUUGGCGCCCAAUUCCCUCAAUCGCCUCGAAAAAUCUUUAGCCACGGCAUUGAAAGUGCCGCCGUAAGCUGUGCUUCCAACUCCAAAAACUGCGAAUUUGCACUUAGAAAGCAACAAAGAACCGACUCGAAAAUCAUCAGCACUGUCAGCGAGCCAAUUCGCGAAGAAACUGGCGUUUGAAGGCGGUUUUCCAUCUUCCCAAGUGGAAGCGAUAAUUAUUACCACCGUCUCUUUGGAAAGGUCCUCAGGCUCAUAAUCUUUGAUAUCGAUGAGGUCAAAUAAGAGAUCGUUUAACUUGAAGAGAUUGUGGAGGCGCUGCGCUAGGGUUUUGGAGGUCCCUGUUUGAGAGAUGAAGAAGAGCUUGCCUUUAUUAGAAGAGCUAAUAGGAUUAGCAUUGAGAUUAUCUUUAGGGUUUAGGGAGAUUUUCAGGAGUUUGAGACGGCGAGAUUUGUAGAAGCAGUAGAAGGUGGAGGCUGAGAGGAGAGCUAGGAGAGUUAAGCGAGCGUAGGCGGAGGACAGGGACAUGGUUGGGAUUUUCUUAUAAGUCUAUGGGCUUUGUAGUGAGAGUGACUGAAAUAUUGCAGGUGUUAAAGAGAGAAUGUAGAGAGCUGCGUUCAUCGUCGAAGAAACAAGAGCGAGUCAGCGUCACGGAAGAGGAAGAAGGUGAAAGUGUUGUGCUCGCAAGUUUUUAAGUUCCAACGGUAAGCAAUGGCCCGAACUCGAGAAAUCAGGGCUCUUAGUGUCUUAAAUGGGCAAGGCUCAAGGCCCACGAUCUCUAUCCAGACUUCGGCAACCAGCGGGAGAACCCCUCUGGUCUUGUCUUGCAGUUUUUAUAGUAAGUGCCUCCUAAAGGAGGAAUUAUU